rnacentral:rRNA from 1 species
AUACAAAGAAGAGUUUGAUCCUGGCUCAGGAUGAACGCUAGCGGCAGGCUUAACACAUGCAAGUCGAGGGGCAGCGGAGAGUAGCAAUACUCUGCCGGCGACCGGCGAAAGGGUGCGUAACGCGUGAGCAACUUGCCCGUAUCCGGGACAUAAGCGGUGGAAACGCCGUCUAAUUUCCCAUAACAACAGAGGCCGCAUGACCUUUGUUUGAAAGAUCCGUCGGAUACGGAUGGGCUCGCGAGACAUUAGCUAGUCGGCGUGGUAACGGCACACCGAGGCGACGAUGUCUAGGGGUUCUGAGAGGAAGGUCCCCCACACUGGAACUGAGACACGGUCCAGACUCCUACGGGAGGCAGCAGUGAGGAAUAUUGGUCAAUGGGCGCAAGCCUGAACCAGCCAUGCCGCGUGAAGGAAUAAGGCCCUAUGGGUCGUAAACUUCUUUUGUGGUGGAGCAAUAAGGUGCACGUGUGCAUCGAUGAGAGUACAUCACGAAUAAGCAUCGGCUAACUCCGUGCCAGCAGCCGCGGUAAUACGGAGGAUGCAAGCGUUAUCCGGAUUUAUUGGGUUUAAAGGGUGCGUAGGCUGUUCGACAAGUCAGGGGUGAAAGCCCAGUGCCUAACACUGGAACUGCCUUUGAUACUGCCGAGCUGGAAUACGGAUGCCGUGGGAGGAAUGAGUAGUGUAGCGGUGAAAUGCAUAGAUAUUACUCAGAACACCGAUUGCGAAGGCAUCUCACGAAUCCGUCAUUGACGCUGAGGCACGAAAGCGUGGGGAUCAAACAGGAUUAGAUACCCUGGUAGUCCACGCAGUAAACGAUGAUAACUAACCGUCGGCGAUACACAGUCGGUGGCCAAGCGAAAGCGAUAAGUUAUCCACCUGGGGAGUACGUUCGCAAGAAUGAAACUCAAAGGAAUUGACGGGGGCCCGCACAAGCGGAGGAACAUGUGGUUUAAUUCGAUGAUACGCGAGGAACCUUACCCGGGCUCGAACGGCAAGUGAAGGAUCAAGAGAUUGUGACGCCCUUCGGGGCACUUGUCGAGGUGCUGCAUGGUUGUCGUCAGCUCGUGUCGUGAGAUGUUGGCUUAAGUGCCAUAACGAGCGCAACCCUUGUCGCCAGUUACCAGCAAGUCAUGUUGGGGACUCUGGCGAGACUGCCACCGCA